rnacentral:rRNA from 1 species
AGAUAAUAGAUACCCAGGUAGUCCACGCCGUAAACGGUGGGUACUAGGUGUGGGUUUCCUUCCUUGGGAUCCGUGCCGUAGCUAAACGCAUUAAAGUACCCCGCCUGGGGAGUACGGCCACAAGGCUAAAACUCAAAGGAAUUGACGGGGCCCGCACAAGCGGCGGAGCAUGUGGAUUAAUUCGAUGCAACGCGAAGAACCUUACCUGGGUUUGACAUGCACAGGACGCCGGCAGAGAUGUCGGUUCCCUUGUGGCCUGUGUGCAGGUGGUGCAUGGCUGUCGUCAGCUCGUGUCGUGAGAUGUUGGGUUAAGUCCCGCAACGAGCGCAACCCUUGUCUCAUGUUGCCAGCGCGUUAUGGCGGGGACUCGUGAGAGACUGCCGGGGUUCAACUCGGAGGAAGGUGGGGAUGACGUCAAGUCAUCAUGCCCCUUAUGUCCAGGGCUUCACACAUGCUACAAUGGCCGGUUACAAACGGGCUGCGAUGCCGUGAGGUGGAGCGAAUCCUUUCAAAGCCGGUCUCAGUUCGGA